CAGGUUUCAUCUUUAGGACAUGAAUGGUCAUUCUCAGAAACGCAGAGGAGGAGGAGAUAUUCUCUACCUAGCUGCAGAUCGUAGUAACAACACAAGGGUCACCUGAAUCUGCAAAAUGCUCUUGUUCGUGGCUAUACAGCUCUGGCUUCUGCUUCCACAGUCAGGUCUUGCACAAAGUGACUCCGUGGACCAGUCUCCUCCCGAAGUGAGAAGCUCAGAGGGACAAAGUGUAACUUUACACUGUAAUUUCACCACCAGUGACUCAAGCCCGUAUCUGUUUUGGUACCGGCAGUAUCCGAACCAGCCUCCCCAGCAUAUACUGACUAAAACGAAGUCUGAUGCUCCGGAUCAGACGCUUGUCCAGGGAAAAUUCUCAGCAUCUUUGUACAUGGGUAAUAAGACGGUUCCCUUCAAGAUUGAGGCUGUUUCUCACCAGGAGAGCGCUGUGUAUUACUGUGUUCUGAGACCCACAGUGGGGGAGAACUGCAUCUCCACUCGUACAAGAAGUCAGCUGGGGGUUGUUUAUGGCAACAUGAUAGAAUCAUAAACACAGGGCUGGAAGGGGCAUGGAGAGGCAUCUGGUCCAGCCCCCUGUGAUGAAGCAGGACCAAAUGUACUUGGAUCAUCCCGGACAGGUGUUUGUCUAAUCUGUUCCUUAAAAGCAACUGGUUUUUUUCCUGAUAUUCUGUUAAUCUUCUCUAACACACUUUAGUUCCUUCACUUUGCCCUACUGUAUAUUCCUCUGAUUUUU